rnacentral:rRNA from 1 species
GAUGAACGCUAGCGGCAGGCCUAAUACAUGCAAGUCGGACGGGAUUCAGGAGCUUGCUUCUGAUGAGAGUGGCGCACGGGUGCGUAACACGUAUGUAACCUACCUUUAUCAGGGGGAUAGCCUCUCGAAAGAGAGAUUAAGCCCGCAUAAAAUCACAGCACAGCAUUGUGUAAUGAUCAAAUAUUUAUAGGAUAAAGAUGGGCAUGCGGAACAUUAGCUAGAUGGCGGGGUAACGGCCCACCAUGGCGACGAUGUUUAGGGGAUCUGAGAGGAUGGCCCCCCACACUGGUACUGAGACACGGACCAGACUCCUACGGGAGGCAGCAGUAUGGAAUAUUGGUCAAUGGGCGGAAGCCUGAACCAGCCAUGCCGCGUGCAGGAAGACGGCCCUACGGGUUGUAAACUGCUUUUAUACGGGAAUAAACCCAGAUACGUGUAUCUGGCUGAAUGUACUGUAAGAAUAAGGAUCGGCUAACUCCGUG